AAAAUAUUGAAAAAUAAAUUUGUGACGAUAAAAUUCACAUUUCCAAAAAGAAAAGGGUAUAGUUGGCAAUGAGUGAAAAGUUGGGGAGAAUUUUGUCAUACAAAGAAAACCUGCAAUACGUCUCGUAAGAGAAGCAAGCAGCUUUUCUGCUUGGCCUUUGUGAUUCUUGCUCUGCGUGGUGUAUCCCUCAACGAAACUGAAGGAUUAUUUUGAAUGAUCAGAGAAAUUCCCUCUGUUAGGGUUUGGAUAUGAGGGUGCUGCAUCGUCUGAGCUUGUGGAUUGUUUCCACUUGAAACUAUGCAAAUUGAGCAUUUGGUUCAGUUCCUUGUUAGAUUCUAAUGCCACGCUAGAGUAUUUUUAUCUUUAUAUUCAUUUUAAGGAGCCUUAUUUGAUAACAAGGAACAAAGAAUGUAUGGUAGAGCAGGUCUUGAACGAUUUAAAAAGGCUCAAUCUUCAGACCCAUUCUCAGUCACUGUCAAUUCAGCUCCCAAAACCACUACCCAACAUGCUUCUAAACCAGUUAUCCAUCCCUCAGUUCAGUAUUUGCAGUCUCAGACACAAACCCAAUACGAGUACCAACCCUAUGUUCCUCAAAAGCCAACAGGGCUUGAGGCAGGACCAUUGGUUGGGCAGACUCAGCAGGUGACCCACGUUGGAGGGGGGCAGUCAACUUGGCAGCCACCAGAUUGGGCAAUUGAGCCUCGACCAGGAGUUUAUUAUCUUGAGGUUUUGAAGGAUGGAGAGGUACUUGAUCGGAUUAAUCUGGAUAGAAGGAGGCACAUAUUUGGGAGGCAAUCUCAUACAUGUGAUUAUGUACUUGACCAUCAGUCUGUUUCACGCCAACAUGCUGCUGUCAUUCCUCACAAAAAUGGAAGGUUAGAUCUUUCCUUAAUUUUCUAUGAUGUUGCAUUACUUGGCCUUGUAAUUGGAUCUUUGCUCUACAAUUCUGUGAUUUUUUUUUGGGAAACCUUAUUGUAAUCUUUUGCUUAGUUACUAUUUUGUAAAUUACGUAUCUUAAUUAUUUUUAACAAUGUAACAUAAAUUAGAUUUGUUCACUAAUUUUUCAUUUUGAGGGUUGAUGCUUCUUUUUAAGCAUUAAGACUAUCAAGUUAUAGUUGAAAAAUGUUUAUCAAUUGAAUGGUCACUAUUAACAAUUGAUUAGGCUACUUUAAAUCUUCCCAAGUUACUUAUCCACCACCUUCAGUGAUGACAUUUCCCCCUAAAUUUCCACUUGUCAAGACUUUGAGAAGAGUCUUUUUCGUGCUUGGAUAUGGUUUAGCUUUCUCAUGCUAAAAGUUUCUUUGUAAUUCAUAUGUUUCGUUAACUUCUGCAGCGUAUUUGUAAUUGAUUUGGGGUCUGCACAUGGUACAUUUGUGGCAAAUGAACGGUUGACCAAAGAUACCCCUGUUGAGCUUGAAGUGGGCCAAUCUUUGCGGUUUGCUGCCUCAACACGAACUUAUAUCUUGAGAAAGAACGAUGCUGCUCUUUUCCCACGUCCUCCACCACCUUCGGAGAUUAAUCUGCCACCACCUCCUGAUCCAUCUGAUGAAGAAGCCGUUGUUGCUUAUAAUACUCUUUUAAAUCGAUAUGGUCUUGGCGGCCCUGAUCUACUGUCUAGAUCUAGCAAAUCUGGUAGCUCAGCAAGUGGUAGAGAUGACAGCCAGCAGUCUGGCAGAGCCUCAAAGAGAAUCAAAAAAGCAAGAGUAGCUUUCAGAGAUCAAGUUGGGGGAGAAUUAGUUGAAGUUGUUGGGAUUUCAGAUGGUGUAGAUGUAGAAACGGAGCCUGGUCCAAUAGGUGUAAAAGAAGGAAGUCUUGUUGGAAAAUAUGAAUCCCUUAUACAGACUACAGUAAUACCGAAAGGUAAGGAACAAUUGCCAGCAAAGGAAAACAAUGCUUCCCAAACAGGUGUUACGAAUAAAUUGCAAGAAGUCUUGAAUAAAGUCAAGACUGUUCCCAAAAGUGGUGUGCAUGAUGACCUUUAUGGAGAAGCAUUUUCUGGCAAAUUGGGGUCUUCCUGGGCGUAUCCUAUGGUUACUUCUGGCGGCAAACUGGAUCCUUCAACUAAGGAUGACAAACAAAAGGAUAUUGCUGCUUCGAGUGGAAAACUAGAGAACAACUCGAACUUGUACAACGAUGACAAUGAUGAUGAUUUAUUUGGUGACUAAUUAAAUAGUGUUGGAAGGAUGCUGUGUUGUUCUUUCAUAGGUGCUUUGGAGAGCAGCAGCCAGUGGACAUAAGAGACCACUGGUUCCUUUGUAGAUGGGAAAUUUUGUUGUAAUUCGUUGGAAUAUCUUUGUAGUGGAAGACCACCCAAUUUGGGAUUUUUAAUUUACAACUCAGUUACAUUUGGACUGGUUUCGAACUUAUUGUUUUAAGCUGGAAGAAAUGAAAUUGAAUUGACUUGUGGU
rnacentral:misc_RNA from 1 species